GUGCAGAAUGAGAACAUGCUCCAAGAACUUAUGCCUGUGAAAGGUAUGCAAUUCACAUCAUACGCUGCGGCGCAAAACUUCUACAACACGUAUGCAAGGCAUACAGGCUUCGGCACACGCAAAAACAGCGGAUACAAAACAAAUAGAUACAUAGUGUGCUCAAAGGAAGGCAAAAGCAAGGAAACUGUCACAGAUUAUGACAGAAAGCGAGAGAAAACAACAAAGAGGACUGGCUGCAAGGCGAGAAUCAGAGUGAAAGAAAUCAAGGAUGUGUUUGUGAUAGCAGAGAUUGAGCUCAAUCACAAUCACAGGAUGAUUGAGAGCCUGGCUAUGCUUCUGCACAUGCACUCACAUAACCCGGAUGAUCCGUUACUUGAUAAACUAGUGAAGGACAUGGAGAGAGACAACCUGACGCACACGUAGAUGAUGUCAACCCUGUCAAGAAUGUCAGGAGGGCUGCACUUUAUGGGGCGCACUAGCCGUGACUGAGUGAACAAGAAGCACCAAUUCACGAGGGAGGAACCAGAAGACGAUGUGAAGAAACUCCUGGCUUUCUUUGAGAGAAUGCACCCGGAGUUCUUCUAUGAUUACGACAAAGAUGCGAAUGCGAGCUGUCGGGGAUCCUACGAAGAUUUUGAAGAUUGUGUCACAUUUGACACGACCUACAAGACCAACAAGUUCCACAUGCCUCUGGCCAUCUUCGUUGGAGUCAACCACCACCUCCAAAGUACAAUAUUUGUUGUGGCUCUCAUCACAGACGAAACAAUACCGACUUUCAAGUGGUGCCCCUCCAUGGAUGCCGCGAUUAAAAGUACGCUAAUAGGCACGCUGCACAAGUUAUGCCGUUGGCAUAUACUGAAAAAAUACAAGGAUCACCUGUCCUUGCUGUACAAAGCAUAUGAGACAUUCAAAGAUGAGCUGACCUUAGUUCUCAACCACCCGCUAAUGCCAUCAAAGUUUGAACGCGCUUGGCAUGAGCUCAUCGAGAAGUAUAACUUGCAAAAUGAUGAAAUUAUGAAGGCGCUCUGGACAGACCGAAAAGAAUGAAUAUCAACUUACUACAAGGAGGUGUUCUGUGCACGGAUGACGUCGACACAGAGAAGUGAAAGCAUGAACCGGAUCUUGAAGAGGAACUUUGUCAAGGAAAGACACGACCUACACAUCUUUGCAUCGCAGGUGGACAGGUGUAUCCAGACAAGGAAGGGCGUCGAGCACGCGGAGACCAUAGCUAACGAGACGGAAAUAAAGACUACUACUCAGUUUGGUUUCGAGGUUCAACUCUCCAAGAUUUACACCAGGGCGGUCUUUGCUGACUUCAAGCAAACGCACUACCGCAGCACUGCAUUCAGAUCAGAGCAGUCCCGUGACAACCCAACGAAAUAUUUGGUGCGCCACUACAACUAG
rnacentral:rRNA from 1 species